AUUGAACGCUGGCGGCAGGCCUAACACAUGCAAGUCGAGCGGAUGAAGAGAGCUUGCUCUCUGAUUCAGCGGCGGACGGGUGAGUAAUGCCUAGGAAUCUGCCUGGUAGUGGGGGACAACGUUUCGAAAGGAACGCUAAUACCGCAUACGUCCUACGGGAGAAAGCAGGGGACCUUCGGGCCUUGCGCUAUCAGAUGAGCCUAGGUCGGAUUAGCUAGUUGGGGAGGUAAUGGCUCACCAAGGCGACGAUCCGUAACUGGUCUGAGAGGAUGAUCAUCCACACUGGAACUGAGACACGGUCCAGGCUCCUACGGGAGGCAUGAGUGGGGAAUAUUGGACAAUGGGCGAAAGCCUGAUCCAGCCAUGCCGCGUGUGUGAAGAAGGUCUUCGGAUUGUAAAGCACUUUAAGUUGGGAGGAAGGGCAGUAAGUUAAUACCUUGCUGUUUUGACGUUACCGACAGAAUAAGCACCGGCUAACUCUGUGCCAGCCGCCGCGGUAAUAC
rnacentral:rRNA from 1 species